CAGACAGGAGCUCUGUGCUGGGCCAGAGGGAGAAGGAGAAGGAAGGAAGACUAGCCUGACAAUGCCAUUAAGAAUCAGAGAAGGAAUCAACAACUUUGGAAGACAGUGCUGUUCUGCACGCUGAGAGCAGGCUGAGGGAUUUUUAUUUGAUGGGCCAGAGAUGUCUUCCAUUAGAGGUACUGAGGAAUACCAUUUUUUGGACAAGCUGUAUAAUAAAAGCAGAAG